GUUGUUUGGAGUCCACUAAUGCUGAUUUUACUCAAGAGUUUGUUGUUUUUCAGGGCAACCAUGGAUUAUUAUGACUACUAACAUUUGCUGUUUAUUGAGUGUCUAUGGUGUAAAAAGAAAAGGGAAUGUGUCCAUCUUCAAAAAGCUGGCAAACACACUACAUGUGGGCUGGGAAGGGGGUACAUUUCGUUCUGGCUGAUCAACAGAUGGUCCCACAACAGCCCUUGGAGGCCUCACAGGUCACACAAACCCACUUCUCAUUCCCCACCUGGGCCACAGAGAGAGCCACAUGGGCAUAAAUUGCAGCCAAGACAGUGAAGUCUCCUACAGUAAAUGCAAGUAACUACAGACAAUAAAGAGAACUCAAAAAGACUCCAAAAAAUGACUCCAAGCAGAUUCUUCAUAGCACCAUGGGUUUUAUUGAAAAGUGGAAGGAACUCUAAUAUCUUCAAAUCCAGUCUCCCUGUCCUCCACACAACAGUCCUGUCAGAUAAAUUUUAGUGCCUGUUUGAACCAUUCCAAGGUCUGGGAUUCCUCAAUUUUGUGAGGAACUCACAGUGACAAGAGAUGAUAAUGGCAUUGAGCGAUGAAACGUAAUGUGGGUGGAAGACAUUUCUUGCUUUGGAUACCAGUAAG